CCAAUGCAUUGCCUCAGUAACGGCGAGUGAAGCGGCAAAAGCUCAAAUUUUAAAGCUGGCAUCUUCGGUGUCCGCGUUGUAAUUUUGUGAGGCAUCUCCGGGUAGGGCGCCGGCCUAAGUUCCUUGGAACAGGACGUCACAGAGGGUGAGAAUCCCGUGCUUGGCUGGCUGUCCCCGUCCAUGUGAGGUGUCUUCGACGAGUCGAGUUGUUUGGGAAUGCAGCUCAAAAUGGGUGGUAAAUUUCAUCUAAAGCUAAAUAUUGGUGGGAGACCGAUAGCGCACAAGUAGAGUGAUCGAAAGAUGAAAAGCACUUUGAAAAUAGAGUUAAAAAGUACGUGAAAUUGUUGAAAGGGAAGCGCUUGAGACCAGACUUCGGUAGGGGGUGAUCAGCCGUGCUUCGGUGCGGUGCACUUGUUCCUCUCUGGGCCAGCAUCGGUUGAGGCGGCGGGAUAAAGGUCCCGGGAAUGUGGCUCCUUCACGGGAGUGUUAUAGCCCGGGUGAAUGCCGCCAGCUUCGACCGAGGACCGCGCCCGCAAGGGUUAGGAUGCUUGGCAUAAUGGUCUUCAGCGACCCGUCUUGAAACCACGGGACCAAAA
rnacentral:rRNA from 1 species